rnacentral:rRNA from 1 species
GCGGGAAAAGCUCAAAUUUAAAAUCUGGCGGUCUCUGGCCGUCCGAGUUGUAAUCUAGAGAAGUAAUGCCCGCGCUGGACCGUGUACAAGUCUCCUGGGAUGGAGCAUCAUAGAGGGUGAGAAUCCCGUCUCUGACACGGACUACCAGGGCUUUGUGGUAUGCUCUCAAAGAGUCGAGUUGUUUGGGAAUGCAGCUCAAAAUGGGUGGUAAAUUCCAUCUAAAGCUAAAUAUUGGCGAGAGACCGAUAGCGAACAAGUACCGUGAGGGAAAGAUGAAAAGAACUUUGGAAAGAGAGUUAAACAGUACGUGAAAUUGCUGAAAGGGAAACGCUUGAAGUCAGUCGCGUUGGCCAGGAAUCAGCCUCGCUUUUGCGUGGUGUACUUUCUGGUUGAUGGGUCAGCAUCAAUUUUGACCACUGGAAAAAGGCCUGGGGAAUGUGGCAGCUUCGGCUGUGUUAUAGCCCCUGGUUGCAUACAGUGGUUGGGAUUGAGGAACUCAGCACGCCGCAAGGCCGGGUUUCGACCACGUUCGUGCUUAGGAUGCUGGCAUAAUGGCUUUAAGCGACCCGUCUUGAAACACGGACCAAGGAGUCUAACAUGCCUGCGAGUAUUUGGGUGGAAAACCCGAGUGCGUAAUGAAAGUGAAAGUUGAGAUCCCUGUCGUGGGGAGCAUCGACGCCCGGACCAGAACUUUUGGGACGGAUCCGCGGUAGAGCAUGUAUGUUGGGACCCGAAAGAUGGUGAACUAUGCCUGAAUAGGGUGAAGCCAGAGGAAACUCUGGUGGAGGCUCGUAGCGAUUCUGACGUGCAAAUCGAUCGUCAAAUUUGGGUAUAGGGGCGAAAGACUAAUCGAACCAUCU